ACACAUGCAAGUCGAACGAGAAAGUGGAGCAAUCCAUGAGUACAGUGGCGUACGGGUGAGUAACACGUGACUAACCUACCCUCGAGUGGGGAAUAACUUCGGGAAACCGAGGCUAAUACCGCAUAACAUCUACGGAUCAAAUGCGCAAGCAGCUUGAGGAGGGGGUCGCGGCUGAUUAGCUAGUUGGCGGGGUAACGGCCCACCAAGGCAAUGAUCAGUAGCCGGCCUGAGAGGGCGCACGGCCACACUGGAACUGAAACACGGUCCAGACUCCUACGGGAGGCAGCAGUGGGGAAUUUUGCGCAAUGGGGGAAACCCUGACGCAGCAACGCCGCGUGGAGGAUGAAGCCCCUUGGGGUGUAAACUCCUUUCGAUCGGGACGAUUAUGACGGUACCGGAUGAAGAAGCACCGGCUAACUCUGUGCCAGCAGCCGCGGUAAUACAGAGGGUGCAAGCGUUGUUCGGAAUUAUUGGGCGUAAAGGGUGCGUANGCGGUGCGGUAAGUCUUCUGUGAAACCUCCGGGCUUAACUCG
rnacentral:rRNA from 1 species